UGCAUGUAUAUGUCCAAAUGAGCAGUACAUGCUGAGCUACUAUCUCUCCUUGCUACCCAGACAAGACGUCUGCAGAUCCAUCAGUCAAGUAGAUAUAGAGGAUUGCAGAAACUCACUGGUUUCUCCAGCUGCACCCUUCCCUGUGUCUCAGGGAGAGGGUAGUGCAAUGGCCAGGCUGGCUAUUUCUCCAGUGCGAGGAGAUCCUGACACCAGUCUUCACUAUAUCAUGCCUAAGGUCCGCUUGGUGGGAUGUCGGUUUUCUCCAGUGAAGCUAAUGAAGAUAGAGGGAUCUCAGCACUUGGCAGGACUAAAUGAGUUUUCCCCCUUUCUGGUACCUGAGUCAGAAGUUAGCUUCUGUCUCCUGCUUACCAGUAGAAUGGGCUGCUUAUGGUAUCUUCAAAACUGA
rnacentral:lncRNA from 1 species